AUCAGGGAUGCAGGCCUGCUGCAGUUCUCUCCCUUUUCACUCUCACUGAAGCCCCAGACAGAAGCUCCCUGGAGACCUUCCCUUCUUGUUUAAACCUGACACAAAUUCCACGUCACAGUACCCAGAGUGACGACGCUUGCAGGCACAAAAGCAAAUAUUUCCUUUCCUGGUUGUACCCAACCACCUCUACACGUCCCCACCGACACCUGACCCCUCCCUUUCCUCACCAGUUCCAGCACUGCAGGCCGGCCAUUUGUCACAAAGUAAUUAUAGAAUUAUUGAUUGGCGAGCAAUUAACAGUCCCUCCCUCUUCACUAUCCCCCCUCCCCAUCUUUUAAUUUGCAGUCAGACUGGCAAGAGCAAAAAAGCUUUAGGAGUAACACAUUUAAUCCCUUUGGGAUUUCUCUAUAGUCUUCAGAUUAAUAGCGGGACAGAGACAAAAGGCCUUUUUUCACCUGCUGUUUCCUGUUCUGUCUGGCUGCAUGUCUCCAGGCCCUGGCUCUCUCCGACAGCGUCUCUCAUGCCUCCUACAGACUUGCAUCGAAAAGCUCCUUGUAUUAGCAUUGUGAUGAGGAUAUACCGUCGGAUAGCUGCUGAAUUUGAUAAACUCUGAGUGUGGUGCAAUAUAAAGGAAUGAGGCUGUAACUUCCUGAGGUUUUGGGGGGCAAUGAGCUGAAUCAGCCUCUGUUAGACGGCCUGGCCGGAGGAUGGAUGGAAGAGGACUUCUGGAUGCUGGUGGGCUGGGUUCAACUCCGAACUGAGAGGAUUUGAAGCCGUGUUUUGUUCCAGUAAGGUCCGAUCCCAGUAGAAAGAAAGUCACAGAUUUGGGACAACAUGAGGCCACCAACGGAGGGCGAUGUUUCCCAUGAAAUGAAUCGUUCCUCUUCAUCUAUGAAGCUAAAUGGAAAGAAUGUCAACAAGAAGGUCAGAUGCUCAUAGAAGAGCAGCUCGUGCACGGGUGGAGCAGAAGGAGAGAAGGAAUGGAGUUAAAUUAAGGAUAUCAUUGGACUGACAGUGAUCUGGGCAGCUCUCGAUAAGAUCCUCGGCUCUGCGGAGCGCCAGACGACGUGAGAAGGUCUGGCGGCGGGAUGGGGAGGGGGAAGGGGAAGGGGGCAGUUAAAAGUUUUCCGAGCCGUCUUCCCCCUUCAAUUUGCAUGCUUAAUGAUGCUGAGCAGGAGUUAAUAGUGGGUGUAAUGGCUUCUGACUGACCGGGCUCUGGAGUGGACCACAGGCUGGGCCACCGGAGCAGGGGUGGGGAGGGGUUAACGCACACCAUACGGCUCUGCACUCGCUCG
ensembl:lncRNA